rnacentral:rRNA from 1 species
AAGUCGUAACAAGGUUUCCGUAGGUGAACCUGCGGAAGGAUCAUUAUUGAAAUAAACCUGAUGGGUUGUUGCUGGUUCUCUAGGGAGCAUGUGCACGCCUUGUCAUCUUUAUAUCUCCACCUGUGCACUUUUUGUAGACCUUUCAGGUCUAUGUUUUCUCAUUUUACCCCAAUGUAUGUCGAUAGAAUGUUGUGCCUUUAUAAUGUAUACAACUUUCAGCAACGGAUCUCUUGGCUCUCGCAUCGAUGAAGAACGCAGCGAAAUGCGAUAAGUAAUGUGAAUUGCAGAAUUCAGUGAAUCAUCGAAUCUUUGAACGCACCUUGCGCUCCUUGGUAUUCCGAGGAGCAUGCCUGUUUGAGUGUCAUUAAUAUAAUCAACCUUCUCUUCUUGAGUUGGCUUGGAUGUGGGGGGUUUUUAUAUGCUGGCCUUUCCAAAGUUCAGCUCCCCUGAAAUGCAUUAGCAGAACAACCCUUGUUCAUUGGUGUGAUAACUAUCUACGCUAUUGGAUGUGAGGGGGCAGUUCAGCUUUCUAACAGUCUUUGGACAAUUCAUCAUUUAAUGUGACCUCAAAUCAGGUAGGACUACCCGCUGAACUUAA